UUACUGAGUUUACGCUCUACAACCCUUUGUGAACAUACCUAUAACUGUUGCUUCGGCGGGCAGGGUCUCCGUGACCCUCCCGGCCUCCCGCCCCCGGGCGGGUCGGCGCCCGCCGGAGGAUAACCAAACUCUGAUUUAACGACGUUUCUUCUGAGUGGUACAAGCAAAUAAUCAAAACUUUUAACAACGGAUCUCUUGGUUCUGGCAUCGAUGAAGAACGCAGCGAAAUGCGAUAAGUAAUGUGAAUUGCAGAAUUCAGUGAAUCAUCGAAUCUUUGAACGCACAUUGCGCCCGCCAGCAUUCUGGCGGGCAUGCCUGUUCGAGCGUCAUUUCAACCCUCAAGCUCUGCUUGGUGUUGGGGCCCUACAGCUGAUGUAGGCCCUCAAAGGUAGUGGCGGACCCUCCCGGAGCCUCCUUUGCGUAGUAACUUUACGUCUCGCACUGGGAUCCGGAGGGACUCUUGCCGUAAAACCCCCCAAUUUUCCAAAGGUUGACCUCGGAUCAGGUAGGAAUACCCGCUGAACUUAAGCAUAUCAAUAAGCGGAGGAAAAGAAACCAACAGGGAUUGCCUCAGUAACGGCGAGUGAAGCGGC
rnacentral:rRNA from 1 species